UAUAAUUUGACUCAAACGAAGAAGAUGACAGCCACAGAUAAACAACAACAAACGAUCGAAAAACACGUAGAAUGGCGGAACGACUGGAUUGCCCGCAUCGGACAAAAGGCCCAAAUAUUCAUUAGCAUUCAAACUCAAAUUCAUUAUUGGAUGAGCCAAGCAGAACAGCCCCAUAACAGACACCCGCAACACCCUAUAAAAUCAUCAGAGAAGGAGAUUUUUUUUUUGUUUGUGUUUGUCCUUUAAAUAUAUAUUAAUUUUGUUGCGUGUA